rnacentral:rRNA from 1 species
AAAUUUGAAAUCUGGCGCAAGCCCGAGUUGUAAUUUGAAGAAGGUAAUUUUUGGGAAGAUGUAUAUAAAAGUUCCUUGGAACAGGACGUCAUAGAGGGUGAGAAUCCCGUUUUGUAUACCGCUCUUUCCUUGUAAAAUGCCUUCGAAGAGUCGAGUUGUUUGGGAAUGCAGCUCUGAGUGGGUGGUAAAUUCCAUCUAAAGCUAAAUAUUGGCGAGAGACCGAUAGCGAACAAGUACAGUGAUGGAAAGAUGAAAAGAACUUUGAAAAGAGAGUGAAAAAGUACGUGAAAUUGUUGAAAGGGAAGGGUUUUAAGGGAGACUUGGGGGGUAGUGAACAAUUUUCCUUUGGGAAGGUGCACUCACUAUUCUCUGGGCCAAUAUGGGUUUGUGGAG